rnacentral:rRNA from 1 species
GUGCCAGCAGCCGCGGUAAUACGUAGGGUGCGAGCGUUAAUCGGAAUUACUGGGCGUAAAGCGUGCGCAGGCGGUGAUGUAAGACAGAUGUGAAAUCCCCGGGCUCAACCUGGGACCUGCAUUUGUGACUGCAUCGCUAGAGUACGGUAGAGGGGGAUGGAAUUCCGCGUGUAGCAGUGAAAUGCGUAGAUAUGCGGAGGAACACCGAUGGCGAAGGCAAUCCCCUGGACCUGUACUGACGCUCAUGCACGAAAGCGUGGGGAGCAAACAGGAUUAGAUACCCCAGUAGUCC